rnacentral:lncRNA from 1 species
CAAUAAUUGAAGAUAGCGCGAUCGGUUUGGUUAGGUCAAUAAAUCAUCUAAGAGAUUUGACCACAGUCGGCGAUCUUCACCUCCUUCUUGGUCGACCCACUCCGCGAUCCAAAUUUCUCGAUCUCCAUCACCACAUCCAGCCCCUCAACCACCUUCCCGAACACCACAUGCUUCCCAUCCAGCCACGACGUCUGAGCAGUACAGAUGAAGAACUGAGAUCCAUUAGUCCCGGGACCGGAGUUCGCCAUCGACAGAAUGCCAGCUCCGGUGUGCUUCUUCACGAAAUUCUCGUCAGCGAACUUGGAUCCAUAGAUCGACUCUCCGCCGGUGCCGUUCCCGUUGGUG